AAUAGAUACCCUGGUAGUCCACGCCGUAAACGAUGAGUGCUAAGUGUUAGAGGGUUUCCGCCCUUUAGUGCUGCAGCUAACGCAUUAAGCACUCCGCCUGGGGAGUACGGUCGCAAGACUGAAACUCAAAGGAAUUGACGGGGGCCCGCACAAGCGGUGGAGCAUGUGGUUUAAUUCGAAGCAACGCGAAGAACCUUACCAGGUCUUGACAUCCUCUGACAACUCUAGAGAUAGAGCGUUCCCCUUCGGGGGACAGAGUGACAGGUGGUGCAUGGUUGUCGUCAGCUCGUGUCGUGAGAUGUUGGGUUAAGUCCCGCAACGAGCGCAACCCUUGAUCUUAGUUGCCAGCAUUUAGUUGGGCACUCUAAGGUGACUGCCGGUGACAACCGGAGGAAGGUGGGGAUGACGUCAAAUCAUCAUGCCCCUUAUGACCUGGGCUACACACGUGCUACAAUGGAUGGUACAAAGGGCUGCAAGACCGCGAGGUCAAGCCAAUCCCAUAAAACCAUUCUCAGUUCAGAUU
rnacentral:rRNA from 1 species